CAGCUGCUCGGGGACAUGAGGGCACGUCCUUUCUCACAGUCCUUUAGCAGCUACUCCAUCCGCCACUCAAUAAGUAUGCCCGCCAUGAGGAGUGCUGCCAC